GAUGAACGCUGGCGGCGUGCCUAAUACAUGCAAGUCGAGCGAACAGACGAGGAGCUUGCUCCUCUGACGUUAGCGGCGGACGGGUGAGUAACACGUGGAUAACCUACCUAUAAGACUGGGAUAACUUCGGGAAACCGGAGCUAAUACCGGAUAAUAUAUUGAACCGCAUGGUUCAAUAGUGAAAGAUGGUUUUGCUGUCACUUAUAGAUGGAUCCGCGCCGCAUUAGCUAGUUGGUAAGGUAACGGCUUACCAAGGCGACGAUGCGUAGCCGACCUGAGAGGGUGAUCGGCCACACUGGAACUGAGACACGGUCCAGACUCCUACGGGAGGCAGCAGUAGGGAAUCUUCCGCAAUGGGCGAAAGCCUGACGGAGCAACGCCGCGUGAGUGAUGAAGGUCUUCGGAUCGUAAAACUCUGUUAUUAGGGAAGAACAAAUGUGUAAGUAACUAUGCACGUCUUGACGGUACCUAAUCAGAAAGCCACGGCUAACUACGUG
rnacentral:rRNA from 1 species